rnacentral:snoRNA from 13 species
UAUAAGGUUAUUAUGAUGAUUCAAUGAUAGGACAGAAAAAAUAUUUGUUGAUAAACAAUAUAGCCGAUAAUUAAUAAUUUCUGAACACCUUU